rnacentral:sRNA from 1 species
GCGAACAACUAAUAACACACGUUAACGUUGUAAAUGUAAGGUUCCGUUGCAUAUAAUCUUAGUGUAGACUAUUAACUCGACCAGUUUCAUCUUAGCUCCGUUGCGAGACACACGUACCGCAGUAAAAAAAAAAAAACCAAAGUCUCGUUUGUCGUACUCGUCUUUGAAUUAAAACUCGUUUUUAUUAUUUUUUGUUUACGAUUCUGUUUGAAGCCGUAGUGGUGAUUCUCUGUCUGUGACUAGAGCUGUAUUUCCUAAUAAAAUAAUAAACCAUUUCCGACGUGUUUCAGCUACUGUGAAAAGCUACAACACCAAAAAACAGAAACACAAAAAAAAAAAAAAAAAAAAAAAAAACGAAAAAUUUUUGCCAAACCAUACCGCACAAAAACUCUACCGAGGUGUUGGAAACAUUACAAAAUAAGUCUAUAUAAAAUACAAUAGCACACCAUCCAAUUAAUUGGAAGAAUAAACAAAA